GCAGGGAAUCUUGCGCAAUGGGCGAAAGCCUGACGCAGCAACGCCGCGUGGGGGAUGAAGGCCUUCGGGUUGUAAACCCCUUUCAGGAGGGAAGAAAUUGACGGUACCUCCAAAAGAAGCACCGGCCAACUACGUGCCAGCAGCCGCGGUAAUACGUAGGGUGCGAGCGUUAUCCGGAAUCAUUGGGCGUAAAGAGCUCGUAGGCGGUUCAGUAAGUCGGCUGUGAAAUUUCGAGGCUCAACCUCGAAACUGCAGUCGAAACUGCUGUGACUCGAGUCCGGUAGAGGAGAAUGGAAUUCCCGGUGUAGCGGUGAAAUGCGCAGAUAUCGGGAGGAACACCAGUAGCGAAGGCGGUUCUCUGGGCCGGCACUGACGCUGAGGAGCGAAAGCGUGGGUAGCAAACAGGG
rnacentral:rRNA from 1 species